rnacentral:rRNA from 1 species
GACGAACGCUGGCGGCGUGCUUAACACAUGCAAGUCGAACGGAAAGGCCCUGCUUUUGUGGGGUGCUCGAGUGGCGAACGGGUGAGUAACACGUGAGUAACCUGCCCUUGACUUUGGGAUAACUUCAGGAAACUGGGGCUAAUACCGGAUAGGAGCUCCUGCUGCAUGGUGGGGGUUGGAAAGUUUCGGCGGUUGGGGAUGGACUCGCGGCUUAUCAGCUUGCUGGUGGGGUAGUGGCUUACCAAGGCUUUGACGGGUAGCCGGCCUGAGAGGGUGACCGGCCACAUUGGGACUGAGAUACGGCCCAGACUCCUACGGGAGACAGCAGUGGGGAAUAUUGCACAAUGGGCGGAAGCCUGAUGCAGCAACGCCGCGUGCGGGAUGACGGCCUUCGGGUUGUAAACCGCUUUCGCCUGUGACGAAGCGUGAGUGACGGUAAUGGGUAAAGAAGCACCGGCUAACUACGUG